rnacentral:rRNA from 2 species
UGGCUCAGAACGAACGCUGGCGGCAGGCCUAACACAUGCAAGUCGAGCGGCCGUAGCAAUACGGCAGCGGCAGACGGGAGAGUAACACGUGGGAACGCGCCCUUCGGUUCGGAACAACCCAGGGAAACUUGGGCUAAUACCGGAUACGUCCGUAAGGAGAAAGAUUUAUCGCCGAAGGAUCGGCCCGCGUCCGAUUAGCUAGUUGGUGAGGUAAUGGCUCACCAAGGCGACGAUCGGUAGCUGGUCUGAGAGGAUGAUCAGCCACACUGGGACUGAGACACGGCCCAGAGUCCUACGGGAGGCAGCAGUGGG